GCAUCAUUGCUAAGAAGCUUUGGUAGCUCUUCCUCAAGCGGAAUAAAAUCAGAUAGGCCACUUGUAUCUGCCAACUUCGGAGGCCUUUUCAACGAAAACGACAACAACCUUCAUGACUUAAUGAACUCAUUUGCUACUGGGAAUUCAUCCCUUUUCGCUUCUGGGCAUGGACAAGAAAACCCCCAUAGUGGAAACAUGGACGAAGCAAAGUUGCACCAGGGUCUGAACAUGAGCAUUGGAGGGUCUGAUAGAUUAACCAGGGAUUUUCUUGGGGUUGGACAAAUAGUUCGAAGCAUGAGUGGAGGGUUUUCCCGAAGAGAAAAUCAUCAACAACAGCAGCAGCAGCAGGAGGCGGCACCACAGCCAGGCAUAGACAUGAGCUCCUCCUUGGAUUCAGAGAGAAAUAUUACAGCGC
rnacentral:misc_RNA from 1 species